GACGAACGCUGGCGGCGUGCUUAACACAUGCAAGUCGAACGGUGAAGGGACCGGUUUUUGCUGGUUCUGGAUGAGUGGCGAACGGGUGAGUAACACGUGAGUAACCUGCCCCCUUCUUCUGGAUAACCGCAUGAAAGUGUGGCUAAUACGGGAUAUUCUGCGCCUGCUGCAUGGUGGGUGUGGGAAAGAUAUUGUUUCGGUGGGGGAUGGGCUCGCGGCCUAUCAGCUUGUUGGUGGGGUGAUGGCCUACCAAGGCGGUGACGGGUAGCCGGCCUGAGAGGGUGGACGGUCACACUGGGACUGAGACACGGCGCAGACUCCUACGGGAGGCAGCAGUGGGGAAUAUUGCACAAUGGGCGCAAGCCUGAUGCAGCGACGCCGCGGGAGGGAUGGAGGCCUUCGGGUUGUAAACCUCUUUCGCCAGUGAAGCAGGCCUGUCCCUUUUGUGGGUGGGUUGACGGUAGCUGGAUAAGAAGCGCCGGCUAACUACGUG
rnacentral:rRNA from 1 species